AUUGUAAUUUAGAAAAAUUACACACAAAUACCUCGCGUCUUUCAGGCGAUCGGUCUUUACUUUGAUCACGAUAAACAUCCUCACAUGAGCGCUUUAGUUGACUGAUUAAAAGCACAAACAAAUUGAUCCAGAACAAGUCCAGUAGGGAGUGUAAAUCUUUAAUAACGCCAUUGUGUUAAACAAUGAAUGAUAGCCAAAUAUUACUAGUAAACAU